AUUAAAUUAAAUCACUUAAAAAUGAAAAAAAGCAGUCACUGCACAUCUAUUUUACAGACAAACAACAUGAAACUGAUCUCUGCACAGGGACAGUCUGUGAAACUCCUGUGGUUGAAGAGAUGAAGGUCAGAGCACAUGUCCUUGUGAAUGAGAAGAAAGGGUAUGAGUAAGCAAGGAAGGAGGGAGGAAAGGAAGAAAAGGAAGACAGAUCUGUCCGUCAAUUGUUUAUUUUACAUUAAAUUCUUAAUGGAAAACUUGACAACACAUGUGUUCAUCUUCGUGUUAUCUUUCCAGAUGUUAGGCAGCUGGAGCAAAAACAUAACUAGGUAAGGGGCUGCAGUGAAGGGGACAAAAGGGCAAAAGCAGCAAGUUUUUAUACAAAUUUAAAGGUUGAAAUCUUUAAAUAAAUCUUUCCUACGGAGUUGCAGAGAGCAGUAGGCUGCCACACUUAAGAGUAUAAUUAAAAGUUUUCCAGAAAGCAAAAGAGGAAAUGAUCAGGCUAACUGAUAAAUCCUAUUCUUUAAGAAAAAAGGUAGUGU